ACACCGGCAGCCCGAGUGGUGGCCACUAUUAUUGGGCCUAAAGCGUCCGUAGCCGGUCCGGUACGUCCCUGUGGAAAUCCUCAGGCUCAACCUGAGGAAAUGCGGGGAUACUGCCGGACUCGGGGCCGGGAGACGCGGAGGGUACUCCAGGGGUAGCGGUGAAAUGCUGUAAUCCCUGGGGGACCACCAGUGGCGAAGGCGCUCCGCGAGAACGGGCCCGACGGUGAGGGACGAAAGCCAGGGGAGCGAACGGGAUUAGAUACCCUAGUAGUCC
rnacentral:rRNA from 1 species